GCUAAUUUGUGACCGUUUCAAAUUUGCUAACAAAAGUUUAAACACUCAUAUCUCAGUCAAUCUUGGACGAAAAUGCCUGUCGAGUAUACCAAAAUUUAAGUUAGACAUCGCUGGAUGCAAUGCAACUCGAUUUUGGGUUCUACUGCUUAUGGUCUUUGAGCUAUAUGUAAUCAAACAGUUAUACUUUUUUUUGCGCCACCCGGUAUCAACAUAUUCAUAUUCAUCUGUGAAAACUAAAAGGAUUGUUCUAAAGCACAGCCGCCACAGUUGCAUGUCGGCUAUAUCCUCACUGAAACAGUGAAAACUUACAUACAUGCAACAGUACACGUGGAUUUUGAUUUGCGUUGUAUUGCGUCGAGACUGAUCACACAGCUUUCCAAGCUCCGAAUUUGAUUCUGGAGUUUUGAGUCAACAAAAUCAGUCAUUUACGUUUAAUCAUCGUAUCAGAUAACCUGGACAAAGACUACGAUGUCUUCGGAUUUAGGAAACAUUUCCAAUUCUUCAAGAUACUUUUCAUUUGCAUGGUUCCGUUUUCCAAUAGAGCCAGAAGAAAACAUUAAAGUAAUCGAAGUUCUUAUCGACAUCAUUCUGGGAAUGAGUUUAGUGUCAAAUAUUAUACUAUUCUGGAUGAUACGGAAAAAUCCAGAUAAAAAACCACGAAGUACUAAAGAUCUGUUGUUGGCUAAUCUUUCCAUAGUCAACUUUUUAGCUACAUUGUUUGGUGUGAUUGCCAGCAUCGACAACCACGUAAGGCCAUCCAAAACGACCUGGACUUACAAAGCUGGGGCAAUAAUGUUGUCCAUAGUUUUACCCAAAUACUAUCCAAGUGUGUUUAUACUUACACUAACACAAUAUGACAUGAUUGUUAAACCGUUUAAAUUUAAGUCAAUGGAUCCACAAAAGGUAAAAACGGCUAUGAUUUUCCUCGGUAUUAAUUGGGUUCUGACAACUGCUGUACUAAUAAUUAUUCCUAUCGUUUAUGACGAUUUUGAUAAAUACCUGAAAAUAAUGGUCACGGUUAUUGUCUGUAUUUCUUGGGUAAUAACUGCAUUCAUUGCCUACAUGUUCAUACGUAUCUUACACACGCUUUGGAAAAGACACAAUGAUCUUAAAAAAAGGUUCAAUGUAUCAGUAACACAGCAAGGAACUGUAGCUAUCCGUCAAAAUACCCGCUUAGCAAGAGUACUGUUUGUAUUCAUAGCAACCUUAGUUCUCUGCAGCUUGCCAUCAAAUACAACGUAUUUGUUCAUCAUACAUUGUUCACAAUGCGAUCAACGCGUUUUAGUAAAGGCUUGCCUGUAUACAUUACCAUUGUUUUUGGCUCUGCAAGUUAUUCUUCCGAUUUAUUGGCUUAUCGCAACGCCAACAUAUUAUAAAGAACUGAAGAGACAGGCUCGUAAACUAUUAGUAUUCUGUCGUUGUGGAAACGAAAAUUGAACAUCAAACGAAUUCAGAUAAUUCAGUACCAUAACACGUUUGCACAACAAAGGAUUGAGUUGACCUAAACAGAGUGAAGUCUUCAGUAAGUAUUCAGAAAGCGACUUCGUCGCAAGCUCCAUGAUUUAUGGUUUUUCAUACCUUAAGAACAACUAAAAACUGCAUGCUUUAAUUUUGGAGUUUAAGAUAUAGCAAAAGCACAAGACUUAGAAUUUCAAAUUAAAGACUUCAAUACAAUUGUUCACUUUAGGAUAGGUCAAUAUAAUUGUUUAGAAUUCAAGACCUGGAACUGUUGGUUAUUUAACCCCGCUCUCACAACUAGAUUAUAAGAGAGUUUACGACAUAAGAGAGUUCGCCAAUCGUCGUUCGCCAAUUCUAAACCCGUCGCCAAUCACGUAAGCUCUCCAUGCAAAUGCUACGACCAACUUUCAAUGCGAGAUCUCAAGUGAACUAUCGAUACCGACUGAGAAUGAAAAAUGGAAUGAAUGGAAUAUUUUUUCGUUCUUCUCGAUCGCAGUGUCAGGAAUAAUGUCAAUGAAACUGCUUUUCAUAUCUCUGAAGAUGAUUCUCAAUAUUUGGAUGAAUUAGCGAAUAUGUACAUUAUAUCCAGAAUUUUUCCAAUUUAUUUACCCUAAACGUUUGAUAAAGAUCAGAGCGAACGAGAGUGUAUUGUAAAAUUUGGUGUGGGAAAGAAUAUCGAACCUCAAUUGAAAACAAUAUUUUAAAAAUACUGUUCAGAAAUGCUGUGUAACCAUUGCUUAACCGU